AGAGCGAACGCUGGCGGCAGGCCUAACACAUGCAAGUCGAGCGCCCCGCAAGGGGAGCGGCAGACGGGAGAGUAACACGUGGGAACGUACCCUUCAGUUCGGAACAACCAAGGGAAACUUUGGCUAAUACCGAAUACGUCCGUAAGGAGAAAGAUUUAUCGCUGAAGGAUCGGCCCGCGUCUGAUUAGCUAGUUGGUGGGGUAAUGGCCCACCAAGGCGACGAUCAGUAGCUGGUCUGAGAGGAUGAUCAGCCUCACUGGGACUGAGACACGGCCCAGACUCCUACGGGAGGCAGCAGUGGGGAAUAUUGGACAAUGGGCGCAAGCCUGAUCCAGCCAUGCCGCGUGGAUGAUGAAGGCCCUAGGGUUGUAAAGUCCUUUCGGCGGGGAAGAUAAUGGACGGUACCCGCGAGAAGAACGCCCCGGCUAACUCGUGCCAGCAGCCGC
rnacentral:rRNA from 1 species